UCCAAUAGCGUAUAUUAAAGUUGUUGCGGUUAAAAAGCUCGUAGUUGGUUCUGCGUGCCGCGCUGUCGGUUCGCCGCCUGUCGGUGUAACUGGCAUGUCGCGGCAUGUCCUGUCGGUGGUGAACGGAGUCCACGACGCUACAUGGGCUUUAUAGUCGAUGUUAGCAUCGUGUGUACUUCCGUUGGCCGAUCUCUCCUACUUCGGUGCUCUUAAACGAGUGUCGAGGUAGGCCGACACGUUCACUUUGAACAAAUUAGAGUGCUUAAAGCAGGCUGAAAUAUCUGCCUGAAUAGUGGUGCAUGGAAUGAUAAAACAGGACCUCGGUUCUAUUUUGUUGGUUUUAGGAAUAUGAGGUAAUGAUCAAUGUGGACUGGCGGGGGCAUUCGUAUUGCGACGUUAGAGGUGAAAUUCUUGGAUCGUCGCAAGACGCACUAGAGCGAAAGCAUUUGCCAAGUAUGUCUUAAUUGAUCAAGAACGAAAGUUAGAGGUUC
rnacentral:rRNA from 1 species